CUCCCUAGCACCCAGUAUCACAAAUAGGCCAAGCUGUGUGUCACUCCCCAAAGACGGUUUCACAACUGUCACAGGCACUGUGCCUAGAAUAUUUUUUAUUUCCAGGCCAGCCCUUCAGACUUGAAAACUUGGCUUCAACUCAACCUUCUCUGUAAAUCUUGUGCUCACUCCCUUCUGAGCACAGUGGACAGUAUGCUGCUCUUCCAGGUUACUUCAACAUCGGCCUCUGCUGUGAACUAAUCUAACAUCCAAAUUCAUCUGAGUUUUAUAAUCCUGCCAAUGGCAAUUAUCAAAACACAGCAAGUAUGUGUUCUGUGGUCACUUCUAUGAAAGGCCAUUCUGAUUGGAACUUUUCAGGGGAGUAAUGCACAGGUUUUAAAGUGGCAACAAGUGGCAUGGGCUGAGUGACAGAGAAUAUGGAUCUGUGUCAAGCUGAAAAAGUCCCACACAGACCCUUGGAAAUAAAACCCAACUAGGGAGGACUGCAGCAGGAACAGCAGUGACACUCAGAGAAGGAUGUCUGGUGGUCACUCUGGAUCUGAGGCUGUACAUAAUCUCUCAUUUUCAAAACAAAAAACUUUUAUUCCUAAUUCUGCCAGCUCUUCUGUAUAUUUAGCCAAACUAGAUGGGAAAUAAAGUGGAAAAUUCAAAGUGAACAUCUGCUGCUUCUAAAAAGCCUCAGUUGGCUGUAAGGGAGAAGGACAUCUCUCCUUGGAAAGACCCAAUCAGAGGGCAAAACGCCCCCUUCCCCCAACCAGUCCCCUUUCUGUCCCAUGAAGUUUCACACUCACCCUUGAAGCAACCCACAGUGGAGAUGUAAACUAACAGGGAAGGUUGAUGAAAUGAGCUCCAAGAUGGUAACUGCUCUCUUGGCUCAGUGCUGCUCAGGAGAUUUCUUGGGGGCCCACAGAGUUCUCCUUCCACCCCAUUCCACACAGCCUUCCCCAGGAGAGGCCUGAUCCACACUUGUCCUCCUGCCGAGACAAGACCACACACCUGCUCCAAGGAGAGAACUUAAGCAGGACAACAGGAUGUGUGUUAAGCAGGCUAACGGGAAAAGCAAGUGUUACACAAGCCAGGAAUCAAUAACUAAAGUCAAGCAGACUCACAUGGCCCAGUGCAGCUGCUUCCCAGGGACUGGGACACAAACCCCUCUUUGAACUGGCUCUAUCGCCCCAGAAUGCAGACAAGAGAUACCCUGCUGCCAGACCCAGCCCACGGGAAUGGACAAGAGCCAAAGCUCUGGCCAGAGCCAGAACCUGGGAUGUAUCCUAGGACAAAAGCAACAGGUCUCUGUUCCUGACUUAUCAAGAACCAAAAGAAAUUCCAGGACCUUUCCGGAGUUCCUUGCUACAGACCUAGAAACUCAGGAAUCACAUAGGGUACCCUACAGAUCAUCAAUGUACGUUGUAUUUCACCCUCUCUUAGACAUUUCACCUCUCUGCAGACAUUUGCAGAAGAGCAACACCAAGGGACAAAUAAGGGCCAAACUGGAAAACAAGCAAAGAGGGAAGUGGGUGGGUCUUAGAGUUGAGGAAGAGAGAGAAAAAGGUUUCUUUUUCUUCUUCAGUGAAAAUAUUUGUCUAGAAUUGAGAAUGAAAAAAAAUGACAGAAAGCACUAGUGAGCUGAGGAAGGGCAACAGCACUGUCCUCAGCAAGAACACAGAGUUCGCAGGCGCCUGGGCGUGUGCUCCCUUCCAUUCCGCCCACCCACAGUUUCUGGGGCAAACAAAUUCUUGGCUGAGCAGGUAUGUGUGGGAGGCCUGAUUAUUUUCCAGCCAUUAGAGCUUUGCCCAGAACUACUUAAUCAGGACUUUCCAAGGUCAUACAUUCAAGUAUGAUGCUAUAGCCUUACAGAACAAAUAACUGGGCUCCAUGGGGCAGGAGGGUGGAGAGUGUGGGGAACGAAAGAAGGAAUUAACCAAUCUCAUGUGAUCCAGCUUCCCAUCCACUCUCAGCAUGUGUCUAUCUGUAGUCUCAGAAAACUGGUAUACAGGGCAAAUACAUAGCUAGAAGAAACAGUAGCUAAUUUUAAUAUGUAGUGCUUGCUCUGUGGCAGCCACAAUUCUAAACGCUCUGUAUACACUGACUUUUUUGACCCUCCACCAUCCUUUGAGGUGGGCACUAUUAUCAUCAUCAUGCCCAAUUACAGACAUAUACAGAGGCUAAGUAACUCACCUAGGGACCACAGCUUGCCAGAGCAUGAGGUGUUCUGGGCAUCUGCACUUUGCUCUACUCCCUCUCUCUGUUCUGCUGAGCUGCUCAUCAAAAAAGGCCAAACUAUACUAACAGUCCUUUCCAGCUAAGGCAUAUCCACUCAAUUUUCCCAAUUCAGUAGUUUGCUUUAAGAGACUUUCUGGAAAGGUAUAUUAUCAGAGAUUGUACCCGCCUUAAGGUAGACACAGGACAGCACUAACCCUGCUGUUUCAAAAGCCAGUGACUUAGGAGGACUAGGAAUGUCCCAUAGCUCCAACCAUCAUUCACCCUCAUGUACUAUGUGAUUAGAAGCAGUUCUAGUCAAAGCUUUGAUCCCUGUUAAAAUGUAAAAGCUUCUGGGAGGUGUAUAUUUUAUGGCCUACAUUUUAUGCAACUUGCAUUGUUAUCUUUUUAAAUCCAGCUUAGUGAUAAGACCUUCAGGUGGUUUCCAGGCAUGCGAUUCACCUGUCCAGUUCUGACUUGUUCACUGCAGAGUGCCUGGAACUCUCCAGGGUCUGGCACAGAAACAGAUGCUCAAGAUCACCAGUGUGGGUGUAGGGCAAACUUAUGACACACGGGUAUCAAAGGGGCAGCCAAGUUGGGCAAAGUUAUCACCCAAAAAGUCUAAAUGUGAACAAGUAAAUCACUGUCAGCAUUAAUUCUGAAAGAUGCUUCAGGCAUAUUUAAAUACUGUAAUAUACAGAAUAGUAUUUCUGGGAGCUUAUUAAUGGAUUUUAUUUAAAAAUACAUUUAGAGCUACUACAUUUAAAUGAAGACAAUAAUCUAUUUAGGAAGGUAUUGAUACCCACAUAAUUUCCUCCUAAAAUUAUGCCUUCCCAAAUGACAACAUGCUCUAGGACACAAUCUUUCCUCCCUAACAUUCUCAUAUCCAACUUUUACGAGUCCACAAAUGCCACUAUAAUGCCUCUUCCCGGAAGCGUUCCCUGACUUUCACCCAGAAGAGGUUGCGCCCUCUUUGUACUUUAAGUUAUUUUGCUUUCUUUUUGAAUACAAACUCAUUCUCUGAAUUGUAGUUAUUUUCUCAUCUGCACUAUUUUAUUGUUCCCAACUUCAUCCCUGUAGUCCAUAGGGAGACAAACAUUUUUCAUAACAUAAAUCAGGCUGCUGUUAAAAAAGAGUCCUACAGGAGGAAGUGCUCCAAGGACAGCACAGACAUCUGCUUCUAAUGUUCAAAUAUAUUUUAGGUAUUUUUAAAGCUGUAGUUUUAAAAAUCACACUAAAAUGAUUUAUAUGUGAGCUUUUUACAACUGCAGAUCACUACCCAUUACUGUGAUGGUGCCAGGGAGCCUGCCUGGGGCCCUCACCACCCUCCCAGGAGGCUGCUCUGCUGGCCUGGUACACACAUAGGAACAACUGGGUGUGACACUGCAAACGGAAGCUGGAGCCCUGACUGGAUUUUAUGAAACCCACAUGUGUGCUGGGAAUGUAAUCUUGGCUACUUUGGAUGUUGAAGCAGAAGAAUCACCAGUUCAAGGCCAGCCUGGGCUAUAUAGCAAUACCCUAUCUUAAAAAGUAAAAUAAAAAGGGCUAGGAACGUAGCUCAGUGCUCCCUGGUUUCAAAUCUCAGUGCAACCAAAAAUAAACACACAUAUGCGCAACCUACCCACACUCAUUAAGCACACAAAACCAAACCAUACCUGACUGUGGGCUUCCCAGCAUACUAGGCAAGACCCAGAGACAUCUGCUUGGCCUUGCUUUCACUGCACUGAGAAAAGUACUUUGUGAUAGCAGCCUACCUGAGGCAUAAAUACAUCUUCUAAAGAGUGAGAUGUUUCCUGUGUGACUAGGUUUAUGAUAAGCAAUGUGAGCAACUCCUUCUUCAGUUUAAUUACAGGGUUACAGCUUUGAAACAAACAUUCCCUACCUCACGCUGGGUGGACUGAAAAGAUCCUAGGACCCUAAGCCAAGUUAUUCAAAACAAAAAACUAACAAUGUGUAAAUAAUUCUCUGUAAGAACAGAUUUUAAAAUACAGUAUUAUGUAUUUAAAGCAAAGUACAGAAUUUCAUUAAACACAGAAGAUGGUACAAGUAUAGCUAUUGUACAGUUAACAAUACCUGAUUUAAACUUUUUCUUUCUUGGGCUGGGGGUG
ensembl:lncRNA